rnacentral:sRNA from 1 species
CUGAAAUGACUCUAACCUUCGUGGACUCCAGUCC